rnacentral:rRNA from 1 species
AGAGUUUGAUCAUGGCUCAGAUUGAACGCUGGCGGCAUGCCUAACACAUGCAAGUCGAACGGUAACAGGCCGCAAGGUGCUGACGAGUGGCGAACGGGUGAGUAAUACGUAGGUAUCUGCCCUGUAGUGGGGGAUAACCCGGGGAAACUCGGGCUAAUACCGCAUACGCUCUUUUAUCGUUGAGAUAGGAGAGGAAAGCGAGGGACCGAAAGGCCUCGCGCUAGAGGAUGAGCCUACGCCCGAUUAGCUAGUUGGUAGGGUAAAAGCCUACCAAGGCGACGAUCGGUAGCUGGUCUGAGAGGAUGGCCAGCCACACUGGGACUGAGACACGGCCCAGACUCCUACGGGAGGCAGCAGUGGGGAAUAUUGGACAAUGGGGGAAACCCUGAUCCAGCGAUGCCGCGUGGGUGAAGAAGGCCUGCGGGUUGUAAAGCCCUUUCAGUGGGGAAGAAAAACGGGGUGUGAAAAGCGCUUCGUCUUGACGUUACCCACAGAAGAAGCACCGGCUAACUCCGUGCCAGCAGCCGCGGUAAUACGGAGGGUGCGAGCGUUAAUCGGAAUUACUGGGCGUAAAGGGCGCGUAGGCGGUUAGGUAAGUCGAGUGUGAAAGCCCUGGGCUUAACCUGGGAAUGGCAUUCGAGACUACCUAUCUAGAGUCUGGUAGAGGGAAGUGGAAUUUCCGGUGUAGCGGUGAAAUGUGUAGAUAUCGGAAGGAACACCAGUGGCGAAGGCGACUUCCUGGACCAAGACUGACGCUGAGGCGCGAAAGCGUGGGGAUCAAACAGGAUUAGAUACCCUCGUAGUCC